rnacentral:rRNA from 1 species
GAUGAACGCUGGCGGCGUGCCUAAUACAUGCAAGUCGAGCGAACAGACGAGGAGCUUGCUCCUCUGACGUUAGCGGCGGACGGGUGAGUAACACGUGGAUAACCUACCUAUAAGACUGGGAUAACUUCGGGAAACCGGAGCUAAUACCGGAUAAUAUAUUGAACCGCAUGGUUCAAUAGUGAAAGACGGUUUUGCUGUCACUUAUAGAUGGAUCCGCGCCGCAUUAGCUAGUUGGUAAGGUAACGGCUUACCAAGGCAACGAUGCGUAGCCGACCUGAGAGGGGGAUCGGCCACACUGGAACUGAGACACGGUCCAGACUCCGACGGGAGGCAGCAGUAGGGAAUCUACCGCAAUGGGCGAAAGCCUGACGGAGCAACGCCGCGUGAGUGAUGAAGGGCUGCGGAUCGUAAAACGCUGUUAUUGGGGAAGAACAAAUGUGUAAGUAACUAUGCACGUCUUGACGGAACCGAAGCAGAAAGCCACGGCAAACUACGU